rnacentral:rRNA from 1 species
AACGAACGCUGGCGGCAGGCUUAACACAUGCAAGUCGAACGCCCCGCAAGGGGAGUGGCCGACGGGUGAGUAACGCGUGGGAAUCUACCCAUCCCUACGGAAUAACGCAUGGAAACGUGUGCUAAUACCGUAUACGCCCUACGGGGGAAAGAUUUAUCGGGGAUGGAUGAGCCCGCGUUGGAUUAGCUAGUUGGUGGGGUAAAGGCCUACCAAGGCGACGAUCCAUAGCUGGUCUGAGAGGAUGAUCAGCCACAUUGGGACUGAGACACGGCCCAAACUCCUACGGGAGGCAGCAGUGGGGAAUAUUGGACAAUGGGCGCAAGCCUGAUCCAGCCAUGCCGCGUGAGUGAUGAAGGCCUUAGGGUUGUAAAGCUCUUUCACCGGAGAAGAUAAUGACGGUAUCCGGAGAAGAAGCCCCGGCUAACUUCGU